rnacentral:rRNA from 1 species
GACGAACGCUGGCGGCGUGCUUAACACAUGCAAGUCGAACGGAGUGGCGAACGGGUGAGUAACACGUGGGUGAUCUGCCUUGCACUUCGGGAUAAGCUUGGGAAACUGGGUCUAAUACCGGAUAGUGCAAGAUGAGCUCGCGGCCUAUCAGCUGGUUGGUGGGGUAAUGGCCUACCAAGGCGUCGACGGGUAGCCGGCCUGAGAGGGUGUACGGCGUCAAUGGUACUGAGAUACGGCGCAGUCGGCAACGGGAGGCAGCAGGGGGGAAUAUUGCACAAUGGUCGGACGCCUGAUGCAGCGACCCCGCGGUGGGGAUGUAGGCUUUCGGGUUGUAAACUCCUUUCGACAGGGACGCGGUACCUGUAUAAGAAGCACCGGCUAACUACGUGCCAGCAGCCGCGGUAAUUC